UACAGAGGUCUCAAGCGUUGUUCGGAUUCAUUGGGCGUAAAGCGCGCGUAGGCGGCUCGGAAAGUCGGGGCGUGAAAUGCCGGGGCUCAACCCCGGGACUGCGUCCGAUACUUCCGAGCUGGAGGUAGGUAGGGGAGAUCGGAAUUCCUGGUGUAGCGGUGAAAUGCGCAGAUAUCAGGAGGAACACCGGUGGCGAAGGCGGAUCUCUGGGCCUUACCUGACGCUGGAGGCGCGAAAGCUAGGGGAGCGAACAGG
rnacentral:rRNA from 1 species